GAUGAACGCUGCCAGAAUGCUUAACACAUGCAAGUCGAUGGGGAAGUGGUGCUUGCACCAUGGCAACCAUGGCGGACGGGUGAGUAACGCGUAAGGGACUUACCUGCAGGACUGGGAUAGCAGGGGGAAACUCCUGACAAGACCGGAUAAUGUCAUGGAGCUGCAUGGCUUUAUGAUGAAAGGAGACGCCUGCGGAGAGCCUUGCGUCCUAUUAGCUAGUUGGUGAGGUAAUGGCUCACCAAGGCGAAGAUAGGUAGCCGGCCUGAGAGGGUGGACGGCCACAAGGGGACUGAGAUACGGCCCUUACUCCUACGGGAGGCAGCAGUGGGGAAUAUUGGACAAUGGGGGCAACCCUGAUCCAGCAAUUCUGUGUGCACGAAGAAGGUUUUCGGAUUGUAAAGUGCUUUCAGCAGGGAAGAAGUAAGUGACGGUACCUGCAGAAGAAGCGACGGCUAAAUACGUG
rnacentral:rRNA from 1 species